rnacentral:rRNA from 1 species
UACAGAGGGGGCAAGCGUUGUUCGGAAUUACUGGGCGUAAAGGGCGCGUAGGCGGCCGCCUAAGUCAGACGUGAAAUCCCUCGGCUCAACCGGGGAACUGCGUCUGAUACUGGGUGGCUUGAAUUCGGGAGAGGGAUGCGGAAUUCCAGGUGUAGCGGUGAAAUGCGUAGAUAUCUGGAGGAACACCGGUGGCGAAGGCGGCAUCCUGGACCGACAUUGACGCUGAGGAGCGAAAGCUAGGGGAGCAAACGGG